rnacentral:miRNA from 1 species
ACACACACACACAUCUCUCUCUCUCUCUCUCUCUCUCUCUCUCUCGUACAGAUACAGAGACACAUAUAUUGACUAACCUGUACAAACAUUUAAGAGAAAUACUUUUUUGCAUAUUUGCAUAGAGUACAAUCCUCUUUUUUUUUGUGUGAGAGAGAGAGAGAGAGAGAGAGAGAGAGAAUUUUAAUACUUAU